rnacentral:rRNA from 1 species
UACGUAGGUGGCAAGCGUUGUCCGGAAUUAUUGGGCGUAAAGCGCGCGUAGGCGGCUUGGUAAGUCUGCUCUGAAAGCCCGGGGCUCAACCCCGGGAGGCGGGUGGAUACUGUCAAGCUCGAGUCCGGAAGAGGAGUGUGGAAUUCCUGGUGUAGCGGUGAAAUUCGUAGAUAUCGGGAGGAACACCGGUGGCGAAGGCGGCGAUCUGGGUAGAUACUGACGCUGAGGUGCGAAAGCGUGGGGAGCAAACAGG